rnacentral:lncRNA from 13 species
UGCUGUCAGGGCAAAUGCCGAGCAUCUUAUACCUGCAGCCGCCGGAAACGAGCCUGCCUUCAGUGUGUGAGGAGAAAACCCACAGAAGGGAAUUAUUUGAGAGCAUGUACAAAGGCCUGGUCUGGGAUGAGGACGUCAUAAAUGGAGGAGAAAGAAGCUUCAACCUCAAUAAAAGUCUGCUGAACAAUUUCAGAGAUCUGGCUUCUAGCAAUCAGGGCACUGACGAGGUGGACCUUCAGUACCUGAAUGAUGUGAUCGUAGAUGGAGCCGACCCCAACCCAACAGACAGGUUCGGACAAACUGUCUUGCUUAAGUCUUUACCAGUGAUCAAAUUACUCAAAUACCUUCUGUUGUGUCAGAUCGUUCUCAGGGAAGGCCUCCAGACAGUGUGUGUUCAACAGGGCUCUUUCUACCUAGUUGUAGAUCUCGAGGUUGUCGAAUGUGGGGCUGAUGUCCUGCGUCCUGACUCCUACGGGGUCACGCCCCUGCACAUUGCUGCAGCUCUUGACUAUGUGGAGAUGAUCCACUUCCCGUUGGAGAGGAAAGGUCAG